rnacentral:rRNA from 1 species
GUGGGGAAUAUUGGACAAUGGGCGAAAGCCUGAUCCAGCCAUGCCGCGUGUGUGAAGAAGGUCUUCGGAUUGUAAAGCACUUUAAGUUGGGAGGAAGGGCAGUAAGUUAAUACCUUGCUGUUUUGACGUUACCGACAGAAUAAGCACCGGCUAACUUCGUGCCAGCAGCCGCGGUAAUACGAAGGGUGCAAGCGUUAAUCGGAAUUACUGGGCGUAAAGCGCGCGUAGGUGGUUCGUUAAGUUGGAUAUUAAAGCCCCGGGCUCAACCUGGGAACUGCAUCCAAAACGGGCGAGCUAGAGUACGGUAGAGGGUGGUGGAAUUUCCUGUGUAGCGGUGAAAUGCGUAGAUAUAGGAAGGAACACCAGUGGCGAAGGCGACCACCUGGACUGAUACUGACACUGAGGUGCGAAAGCGUGGGGAGCAAACAGGAUUAGAAACCCGGGUAGUCC